rnacentral:misc_RNA from 1 species
AAGUCGUAACAAGGUUUCCGUAGGUGAAGGAUCAUUCGCACGUAUCCAACGUUAAACCCCCUGUGAACCUUCUUUGUACGAGUUAGCCCUGAUCACAACCUUUGCAUGAAAACGGGCAUGCGCUGAGGCCACCCCUAAUGCUC